rnacentral:rRNA from 1 species
GUAGUGGCGAACGGGUGAGUAACGCGUGAGCAACCUGCCUUCAGAGGGGGACAACGGUGGAAACGACCGCUAAUACCGCAUGAAGCAAGUCGGACCGCAUGAUCUGAUUGCCAAAGAUUUUAUCGCUGAAAGAUGGGCUCGCGUCUGAUUAGAUAGUUGGUGGGGUAACGGCUCACCAAGUCGACGAUCAGUAGCCGGACUGAGAGGUUGAACGGCCACAUUGGGACUGAGAUACGGCCCAGACUCCGUACGGGAGGCAGCAGGUGGGGAAUAUUGGGGACCAAGUCGGGGGAAACCCUGACCCAGCAACGCCGCGUGAAGGAAGAAGGUCUUUCGGGUUGUAAACUUCUUUACCAGGGACGAAGGACGUGACGGUACCUGGAGAAAAAGCCACGGCUAACUACGUGCCAGCCGCGGC